rnacentral:tRNA from 1 species
ACCCGGCUGGCUCAAUCAGUGGAGCAUUAAGCUCUUGAUCUCAGGGCUGUGAGUUCAAGUCCCACGCUGGGUA